CAGGCACCAUUUUAGGUUUAAAAGGGAAUGUGGUUUAAUUCCACAGCAGCCCCCGCUACUGUAAUUGAGGACGAAUCUUCCACAAACCACUCUUUCAAAAAAGGGAAGGGGAAGGGGAAGAGGAGAGUGAAUCAUGAGCCAGGAGACCUGCCUGCAUAUGA
rnacentral:ncRNA from 1 species